UGGAGAUCAGCCACUCAUCACAGAAGUCAUUUCCAGAUGGCCAGCUCUGCUCCAUGAGAGACAGAUUAGGGCAGAGUUCAAGAGAAUUGUCACCACAGACCUUGUGGAAACUUUUCUCGAUGGACUUGAUGGCCUGGUCCCAAGACUGCUGGACUUGUACAAAGCAGCAACCAAGUCUGGAAAGAAGCAAUCACUCAAGGACAUUUUGGACUGCCUUCAGAAAGAUGUAAGUGGAGGAGCAGUUGACCAUAAAAUUAGGCAUAAUUUAUUAUCUUUGAUAUAACAUUUUCAUCUUACUGCAUGUUUGUUUUUGUUGUAGGACACAAAUGAGAGGAGGAGGACUGCUGCUUUGCUUGGUCUGCCGCACUACAUAUCAGGCGAAGAUCCAUCAACUGUCAUCAGGAUGUGUAAUAGAGUGGUGAUGAAGAUAACACCAGACCAAGCAUCUGCCAGAGUACAUGGGCUAAGAAACAGAAUCUUGAGGUACAACAG